UAGGGAAUUUUCGGCAAGUCGGGGGGAACCCUGACCGAGCAACGCCGCGUGAAGGAAGAAGGAAUUCGUUCUGUAAACUUCUGUUAUAAAGGAAGAAAGACGGAUGGAGGAAAUGACAUCCGAGUGACGGUACUUUAUGAGAAAGCCACGGCUAACUACGUGCC
rnacentral:rRNA from 1 species